AGAACUUGGACAGCACUGAUCUAGAAAAUAGAAUACAUCUACAAAGAAGAAGUAAUGACCCUAGAUGGAGAUCUGAAUUACAGAAGGAUUCCUUAACUGGAAACCCCAAGACUCUGGAUGCUGACCAGAAAUGGAAAAUAAAAAAAACACUUUUAUUAUAUAUCUGGUGUACUUUCCCAUAACGGUGUCAUCCUACAACAUGAAGCUUUAUUUCUUUUAUGUCGUCUGACUCAUCAUUUUUCAAUUUUCUCUGACAAACGGGACAUUCUUGGAAGACAGAAUCAAAAAACAGAUGAAAACCAAAUCUGUGUUUUUUUUUAUCUGUUUAUAAUAUAGAGUGCCAUUGGUUGGAAAACAUUUAUAUCUCCAGGCACACAUCGAAUGACAUAUUCUAUUUCUUUAGCCUCUUCAACAUUGCACCUUUGUCCCCGUAAUAUAAUAUUUCCAGUUGGUAAAGGAAGAGACAUACUCUAACACAAUACAAGCUUAUCCUGUUCCCUAUCAUUUUCACCUAAUUCUUAUGAAUGUUCUGAGCAUGACAAAAACAUACAGGGAAGUUAUUUGACUCCUGAUGAAAAGCUGACCCUAAUGUGUGUGUGAAAGUAAUAUGGAUUCUAAGCUUGUACUGGGGCAGGGGCUUGUGUAAUUGAUGAACAAUCUAAGUAAUGUGCUGCACACACAUGCAGUGCCAUCCCGCCGGUGAUUUCCAACCUUGGGGCGACUUUGGAAAAUGAAGCGGUCCGAGUGCCAUCCCGCCGGUGAUUUAGAUUCUGCCCGCCGGGAAGGCUUUUCGGGGUGAUUAGUUGCCCGAAGAAGAGACGAUUUGUCGUGGGGCGACUAAAUGUCCCUGAAUCAUCAUUAUCUAUUUUUAAUCAUUUAUUAAAAUUUUCACAUUAAAGGAGUGGCUAGAGUAGCUAGAAGAAGAGUAACUGGGCUCAGAAACCCUGUAUAAGGAGAACAAGUUCAUGAAACACCAUUCCUGUAAUUAAAUAGAAAUAGAAAAAUUUACAAAUAAAUAGGAUAGUCUGGAUAGUAAGUCUGUCCAUAUGCCAAUGUCCAUUAUUGGCAGGUGGACUAAGUCUCUUUACUUCCAUUAAGGGCAGCUUGGGCCAGUGGCCUGAAAGAAACUGCACAAUAAACAAAAUCCAAACAUGUGGCCAACAGACUACUACCUAAUAACUCUAGGUGCAUGUACAAUAUUGCCACAAAUAGUACUAGAUGGCAAACUAAUUCAGUAGAUAUUGAGCAGGUAAUUAUUAAAAUCAAGUUAAGGUAGCCAUUCAUGCAAAGUAAAGCUGUCCGAAGACGUGCAGAUUAUUAAAUCAUUAUAUCAAAAUCCCAUAGAAAUUAAUGGAGAGUGGCGGAAUUUCACUCUAGAGGACGUCAGCAUGCUGUCUAGCAUGCUCAGACCUUUAGCAUAUGGGUAAAGGCAGCCAUUGUGAUAACCAUUGUGAUAACCACUGUGGUUGUCAUGGAAAUGAGGAAAAACCUCUAGAAUCGGAUUUAAAAGGGUUGUUCAUUUUUUAAUUAACUUUUAGGGGGUUAUUUAUCAAAGUCCAA